rnacentral:rRNA from 1 species
UACGUAGGGUGCAAGCGUUGUCCGGAUUUAUUGGGCGUAAAGAGCGUGUAGGCGGUUUGGUAGGUCCGUUGUGAAAACUCGAGGCUCAACCUCGAGACGCCGAUGGAAACCAUCAGACUAGAGUCCGGAAGAGGAGAGUGGAAUUCCUGGUGUAGCGGUGAAAUGCGCAGAUAUCAGGAAGAACACCCGUGGCUAAGGCGGCUCUCUAGUACGGUACUGACGCUGAGACGCGAAAGCGUGGGGAGCGAACAGG